UCGUCUAUAUACGUAUAGCAUAUCAAUAAGCGGAGGAAAAGAAACUAACUGGGAUUCCCUUAGUAACGGCGAGUGAAGCGGGAAGAGCUCAAAUUUGAAAUCUUCAAGGUUUUACCUUGACGAAUUGUAGUUUAAAGAAGUGUUUUCUGUUGGAAUUUUCGGUAAAAGUUCUUUGGAAAUAGGACAUCAAUAGAGGGUGAGAAUCCCGUAUUUGACCAUUACUUUCCAGCUUUGUGAUACACUUUCAAAGAGUCGGAUUGUUUGGGAAUGCAGUCCAAAAUGGGUGGUAAAUUUCAUCUAAAGCUAAAUACUGGCGAGAGACCGAUAGCGAACAAGUACCGUGAGGGAAAGAUGAAAAGAACUUUGAAAAGAGAGUUAAACAGUACGUGAAAUUGUCAAAAGGGAAGCGUUUGACACCAGUGUUGUAUUCUCGAAAAUCAAUUAAAAAUGGCGGGAUUUUGUGUUGUAUUGACUUUAUCAGCUUUCUGCACUUUUUUCUUGUCUUUUUUAAUGCACUUUUCGUUUAACAAGUCAACAUCAAUUUCUUUUGUUGUAAAAGGGUCAUUGGAAGGUGGCUUUCUUUUCGGAGAAAGUGUUUAUAGCCUUUGGCUUCUGCAGUCGGAGAGAUUGAGGUCUGCAGCGUAGAUCCUUCGGGGUUAGAUAGCAUUUGUGCUAAGUUACUAGCCUUUCAUAGACAACUUGUUGACUAUGAUCAGUCAUGUAGCUUACUCGCUUAUGCUAUUUUACCUACGCUUAGGAUGUUGAUCUGUAGUGCGUGCGC
rnacentral:rRNA from 1 species